GCCACAUAUAUACAAAAAAGCUGAUCAAUGUCAAACACAAAUCUCUCUCAUUGUAUAUGUUAAAAUCAGUUAGUUUAUUGCAAACCCUGCCAAAGGUUGACACAAAAUGUGAAAAAUAAACAAUAAAUUUUGGCUAAGUAGAAAUUUUUAUCUAAGGUGUUAAAAAGGGAUUUGCAACGAUAAAUUAUAAUGCAAUGAAACGUUUUUGAUAUAUUGCAUACGGUCCUUCCUCACCAAACUUUAGACAAAAUGCCAACAAAAUAACGGUGUUUAAAUCUAAAAUUAAUAAAAUCCUUUUAGCAAUUUGCAUGCUGUUUUACCAUCAAUAAAGUAAACAAAAUUUCAAAUCUCACAUAGUAUUCUGUCACAAAUUUUCAUAAAAUAUAUAUAUAAGUCAUAAUGAGUCAUGUUAAACAACAGCAAUCAAUCUGUAUAUAAGUUCAUUUUAUGUCAAUUUUUGCACCAAUUUUGCAACACAAAAUACAAAUUCUAAAUAAUACUAAAAUCUCUUAUUUUGGUCCUUCGCAUACCGACGGUCUCCCACAAAAGUUUAAUCAAAAUGUAAAAAAUGAGAGGUAACGACAAAAUCAAAGUUUGCAAAAUUUAAUUAUUUCGGUACAUAUAUCUACUGCAUAUGCCCUCUAAAAGAAUAUUUUAAUCCAAAAUGCCAAAGAAAAACAGUUUGCAACAAAAAUCAGUUAUUUCGAUAAUAUUGCAUACACUCUUUCCUCACAAAAGCUUCACAAACUGUAAAAAAAAGAAUGGUUGUAGGGAGUGCUUCUGAUUCAACAAAAAAAGUUUUUUUGACAUAUUGCAUCUAGCCCUUACCCAUUAAAUCUUACACAAAAU